AUCAGAGAGAGGGGAGUUUCAUUUAUGCAGGGAAGGAAAGAAGUGGGUGGUGUUGGCUCUGCACAUUGGAGGAAGAAAUGCACAGAGCCAGAGAAGACUUGAGCAGGGCUGGAGGCUGACAGGAAGGAGUUACUGCAGCUGGGAGAGAGGAAUGGGCUUACUGAUGGAGCACCAACCUGCUGGAGGUCAACCGUCAACUGCUGAAUCCAUAACAGUGCUUGAACACAGAACAUCUCACUUAACUCUUAGCACAAUCCUUAAGGAUGGAUCCUUCCUUUUCCUCUCGGUGCCUGGGGCUGGGGAAUGAAGUGUCCUCUGCCUGAGGAGGUGGAGUGGAGGCCUUCGUUUUAAGACCAGGGUUCUGAUUACACCUGACAGGGCCGAAACUUGAUGCCCACAGAGCUUACUGAUAUCUUAUCUUCUUCCACUAGCCAGGAUUACAGCAGGAAUGUAACAGAAGUUUUCACUGAUUCAGUUUGUGUAUGCUUAGUAUGUAAACAAAAAAGCAAAAACAAAAACAAAAUUCUUUUUUGUCCUCCUUGAAAUUAGCUCCAGAGAGAGUUCUUUCCAUCUUUUUAAAAAUAUUGGUCAACAUAAAGAGUUUUGUUCUCAAGGCUAAAUCUUAAUGCUCCUGCAGAGAGUCUCAUAGUUCAAGAAUAAUCACAUUUAAUAAAAAG